AUGGCCACAUCACAUUGAAACACAGUUUCCCAUAUGAUCACCAUAGUUAAGCAAUGUCAUGCCUGGUCAGUACCUAGAUGCUUGACCAUUUGGGAAUAGCAGGUGCUGUAAG